CGACGAUGUAGUAAACCAGUUUGUUGAAGAAGAAUACACCCUCUAUGAUGUACUGCAUGAUAUCACCAAAGAUGAUCUGAAAUCACUGAGACUCAGGGGAGGAGAUCUCUGUCGGAUCUGGAAAGCUGUAACUAAAUACAGGAAAGAUAACAAUCCAGCUGGCGUCGACAAUUAACGAAACGACGCAUUUCACGCACUGCAACUGUGAAAGGUUUCCGGCGAAAGAAACAUUCCUACUUUUAAAUUAUUUAACUUUUGUAUAUCCCUGUAUAGAAUCUCUUUUCUGUGGAAGUCUUUGUGUGUAUAGAUGAUUUGAAAGUUCUCUUUGCCAAAGUUUUCUUUUCCUGAAUGUAUUGCACAGCUGUGAGCAAAGUCCUGAUAUACUGUUCCACAAUAAUUCAUAUUUCAUAUACGAACGCUUAUUUACAAUUCCACUGUCUAUAAAAUAAAUAUGUUGUUACUGCAAAGAAUACAGUAUAAAUUAGUUACUUGUAACCCA